rnacentral:rRNA from 2 species
AAUCCAUAGGUUAAUGAGGCGAACCGGGGGAACUGAAACAUCUAAGUACCCCGAGGAAAAGAAAUCAACCGAGAUUCCCCCAGUAGCGGCGAGCGAACGGGGAGGAGCCCAGAGCCUGAAUCAGCAUGUGUGUUAGUGGAAGCGUCUGGAAAGGCGCGCGAUACAGGGUGACAGCCCCGUACACAAAAGCGCAUGUGCUGUGAGCUCGAUGAGUAGGGCGGGACACGUGGUAUCCUGUCUGAAUAUGGGGGGACCAUCCUCCAAGGCUAAAUACUCCUGACUGACCGAUAGUGAACCAGUACCGUGAGGGAAAGGCGAAAAGAACCCCGGCGAGGGGAGUGAAAAAGAACCUGAAACCGUGUACGUACAAGCAGUGGGAGCCCCACCACCAAAGCAUUUGCUGUACCGCGUUGACGGAGCGAAGCGACGUCAAACCGAUAAAACAGCAGUGU